GGGUGGAUCACUUUUUCAGUGCACAUCUAAUGUACACCGACUUGCAUCAAAUGCAUUUUUCCUUCAUUGACAUCAACUUAGCCCUGAUAUCUGUAUCACUAUAUCAUCAUAGCAACACGUCAUUGUUUGUUGUGAAAAAAAUAAAAGUUUCCGAUGUUUCGAGGCUAGAAAUGUUGGUCAUCAAUUAAAUUAGUGGCAUAUUUGCUUUAAUGCAGUAUUUUGAGGCAUGUGAAGCAUGAAUGUUUUUUAACCGGCUAGUGAUUUAUAUUUUCUUAUGAUUGUGAUAGUUAAAUAAACAAUUCUUAAGAUAAUGAAAUAAUUCGAUUGGCAAAAUAAAUUCAUGAAGAAGAUAAGAAAUGCACCUAUAAUAACUUAUCAAUAAAUUUCCCAUAUGCUUACAUAUGGCGGUGGUUCUGCUAAACCAUAUACAGAUCCUUUUUGCACGGCAUAUACCAGUCAA